rnacentral:rRNA from 1 species
CCCGGCUGUGACGGCGGCUUCCUGGAGCAGAUAGACGCGUCGCCGCCGCGCCGGGCCGUCGCACCCCGCCCCCACGGGGUCAACGAGGUCCUGCCCCGCCGCAGCCGGCGUGGCGCCUCGGGUGACCGCUCGGGGUCGCCGUACAACCCAGUCAUCGUGCUCCGGCGCUCCGCCGCCCCUCCCUGCGACGAGGCCCCCAGCGCCACCAGCAGCUUCGAGCUCUUCUACGACGACGGCGCCGGAUCCGGCCUCCGCCCGCUGCCCGAGACCAUGUUUGACUUCCUCAUGGGGUCCGGACUCGAGCGGUUCCUCAAGCAGCUCGCCCAGAUCGAGGCCGGCGGCUUCGGCGCCGUCCGCCCCUGCGACAACCCUCCGGACUGCAAGGCCGCCAUCGAGCCCAUGCCCACCGUCGCCGUCGCCGCCUGCCCUGGCCACGUCGGCGUCGACUCCCACUGCUUCGUCUGCAAGGAGGCCUUCGAGCAGGGCGACUAG